CAAAUUUUAAAUCUACCUGGUUUCCAGGUCGAGUUGUAAUUUGAAGAAGUGUUUUUUACUUUCCGGGUUGGGUUAAAUCCUUUGGGAUAAGGUAUCAUGGAGGGUGAGAAUCCCGUGUAUACCAACCGCAGGAUYGUUUAAUAUACACUUUCUAARAGUCGAGUUGUUUGGGAAUGCAGCUCUAAAUGGGUGGUAAAUUUCACCUAAUGCUAAAUAUAAGCGAGAGACCGAUAGCGAACAAGUACCGUGAGGGAAAGAUGAAAAGAACUUUGAAAAGAGAGUUAAAUAGUACGUGAAAUUGUUGAAAGGGAAACGGUURAAGUCAGUCAUGCCGGCGGGAAUCAACUUAGGGGAAACUCUGAGUGCACUUCUUCGCUUGGCAGGUUAGCGUCGAUUUUGGAUGUCAUAAAAUGACUGGGGGAAGGUAGCUCUUUCGGGAGUGUUAAGCCCUURGUAGAUGUGAUGUCYGGGAUCGAGGAUUGCAACGGAUACCYUUUGGGCUARCCGCCUAGUCUCUAAUACGAAGUUGGGUUAUGGACAGCACGCUGACUGUGAUCUGAUUUUCGGUUAAAAGAUUAG
rnacentral:rRNA from 1 species